rnacentral:rRNA from 1 species
CCUACGGGAGGCAGCAGUGAGGAAUAUUGGUCAAUGGCCGUAAGCCUGAACCAGCCAAGUCGCGUGCAGGAUGACGGCCCUACGGUUUGUAAACUUCUUUUAUACGGGAAUAAAGCUCUUCACGUGUGGAUCUUUGCAUGUACCCUAUGAAUAAGCAUCGGCUAACUCCGUGCCAGCAGCCGCGGUAAUACGGAGGAUGCGGGCGUUAUCCGGAUUUAUUGGGUUUAAAGGGAGCGUAGGUUGUUUGUCAAGUCUGCUGUGAAAUGUUGGGGCUCAACCAGGGACUUGCCGUUGAAACUGGAGGACUGGAGUGCGUGUGAGGUAGGCGGAAUGCGUGGUGUAGCGGUGAAAUGCAUAGAUAUGACGAAGAACUCCGAUUGCGAAGGCAGCUUGCU